rnacentral:rRNA from 1 species
GCCUGCCCCUGACCUUGAAUGUUGAAGGGCCGCGGUAUUUUGACCGUGCAAAGGUAGCAUAGUCAUUAGUUCUUUAAUUGUGAUCUGGUAUGAAUGGCUUGACGAGGCAUAAGCUGUCUUAAUUUUGAAUUGUUUAUUGAAUUUGGUCUUUGAGUUAAAAUUCUUAGAUGUUUUUAUGGGACGAGAAGACCCUAUACAGUUUGGCAUUUWKUAUGGUSUCUUUCUGUUUGUGAGGGUUCASYAKGGCUGYCAAAUMUGUUUUGUUGGGGUGAUGGGAGGGAUAUUAUUUAACCCCUCCUUUGUGUUGUUAUAUUUAUUUAUAUUUGCUGA